ACUUCUUGGAAAAAUAAUUGAAGCAUCAAAGAAUGCUCUGGAUGAAACAGGUCCUGGACACAAAUUCCAGUUUGCAGCCUACAUUCCCUCAGUCUUACGUCUCAUUUUGGACACGUAAAGCAGAAGUUUAACUGGAAGAAAUCUGAGCUGCACCGUAGAAAAUCCUUUCUCCUUUGUUUAAGCCAAAAGUAAAAGGCCAUUAAUUAGACAAUGGAAAAGAGAUCAUAACAGUAGAUGGUUACAUUGGAAUGGUUACUACAAGAGACAAAUACUCUUCUUGGCCUGAGUUCACUAAGUUCAUCUUGUUACAGGUGAACGAGAGAGACUCCAUUCCUGCACCUAUGGAGCUUAUGCGCAUCUAGUUGGGAAAUCAGAUAAGGGAGCAGCAAUUAGAAAACAGCAUGGCAUAAAAAGAAAUGGAAUUGAGUUAUU